UCCCUGGCAGUCCAGUGGUUAAGACUCUGCACUUCCACUGCAGGAGGCAUGGGUUUGAUCCCUAGUCCAGGAA
rfam:TPA: Bos taurus chromosome 8, whole genome shotgun sequence.